GAGAACAGGUGGAAGCAAUUUACCUGUGGGAGGGGAAGGGUUGGACCGAGGGUUCAUCCCUCUCUAGCCUCAUUUAAGGAGUGGCAGUAGCAAGGAAAGAAUCUCUACUUGGAGAUUGCCUCCUUUGGAGUGUUCAGUGAGCCCUGAUCAUUGGAAAGGGUUUGCCAUCUAUAUCAUAUUCUUACCUAUUGAGAAAGCAUCCUUGACUAACAAGGUUGCCUCAAACAGAAGUAUUAUCAAUCUGGCGGGAGACCAGCUGAAGCUAUAAAAUGUAUCAUCAGAUACUUACAUAAUACUGCCACUACAAUAGCUAAGGUUUUUUUAUUGUUAUCUGACAUCGCUCCUUGCAUGGCAUAUAGAUAAGCUUUAUCUGCAGCAUGUGAAAUUAAAAGUAACAAAAAGUAGCUUAUCAAUUAAUGUUCUGCAAAGGCAGAAAUAAAAACUGUGUAAAUAUUGGCUGUGUUUCAGUAUCCUGUUCUAAAAACAUGUAGUGUAAACCUGCACAGGGAAAGUGAGCGGGGUUUGUAUGCUUACUAUAGGGUCUGGAGGAAGAAAUAUUGUUCUGGAGUGCCAGCUGCAGGGAACAUCCCUCCCUGCUAGUGCUGUGCAGCAUCCUGUUCGAUCUGUACUUUCCUUCACUUGAUGUAGAUUUCGAACUUUAUAAUGAUCAGAAACCCAGCUCUGCAUUUUGAGAAAUAAUUCCAUCUUGAUUUCUUGUUUAAAAUAUUAAUGUCUUCUCCUUCAGUAGUCUUCUAGUGAACAUUCAUAUUCUCUAAAAGGAGUUUGCAGGCAGGAUUUGGACUUAUUUUUGAUUCAACAUCUGUGUAUAAAAUUAGUAGUUGGAGAACUGAGGAGUUUGUUUUAGCAGUGUCCUAGCCCCUUGUUUGGUUCACCUAAUAGAUUUUUGCAUUGUUGGAGAUGGUGUUUCCAAGAGCUGCUAGUAGCUGUCUGGGUCUCUGCAGUUUGUGCAUUGCAUUAGUACAGCAAGUGAUGCCUCUGAACAUGUGGAUCUAAUCCAAUCUAUGCCAUUACAUAAUUGUGAAGUGACUGCUAGUAAUUUUUAUCCUGUGUAAAUAUGUGGGGUGCUUUGAAAUAUGGCAAGUCCUUCAAUAUCCUUAACACCUGCUGGAAGACUCUUCCAAAACAACACAACAGAAAAACAAACAAACAAAAUAACCCACACAAAAGCAAAGACCUUAAACCUUUUUUUAAGACUAAUGGAAUUAAUAACAUGAAAAAUGAGCCAAACUUAUGGACCUGAUCUUUCUUUAAAUGGAAGUUACAGGUGGAAGUAGAAGACAAAUAACCUUGGGCCUGACCUAGUUACUUUACCUUAUAGAAGAUGAGUAACUGCCUUUUUUUGUCUCUUGGGAAUGAAAUGCGUUUGGGGGGAAAGAAAUAAAAUCCAUCACAAUUUCUAGUUAUUUUGUAAAUUUGUCAUUCUUGAGCAUUUUCCUCAUUGUUUGGAAGUAAGUCUAAGUGUAGAUAUGUCUUUUUCAAUUUGACUUUGCUUUUUUGUGUUAGGAGUUAAAAUGAGUCAAUUUACUCCUUGGGAUUUCAUCAUGCCAAACCACUUCUAUUUAUACUUGAACACCACCUUUAGAAAUUCAGUAGGGCGUAUUUAGGAAAUGCCUGCUGCUUUGGCAGCAGGGUGGGAAGGAAAGGAGGAACUGAAUUCUCUAUUUCUGUAGACCCUGUGAAAAUUACUUCUUGUUGGAGACCUGUGUGUUUUGGGUAAUCAAACUGCGUGUCUCCACGGCAGUCAAAGGUGGGACAGGAACUUAAGGGGACAGGCUGCUGUUAACUUUAAUCUAGGUAGAUAGUUUGGGUGAAAACAAUGGUGUAGUUAUGGCAACACAAAGUUCUACUUAGCCUAGCCACUUUCAGGCAAGUUGUGAAGCUUGGGUUGUACUUCAAGAAGGUCGUAGUUUUCAUGUCAAGAUUCAGCAGAGCCUGUUUUAGGAUAGCUAGAAGUAGAUCCAUGUGUGGGGCAACUGGACCUUUUCUAGCCAAAACCUGGAGAGAAUGUAGGAUUUCUCUGACAAAAGUAAUAAUGCUUAUUUCUAGAUGCAUUUCUUUGAGAUAUAUUUCAGAAUGAAUACUUCAUUAUUCAGGCUGAAAUAUUUGGCCUUAUUGGAAAAGCCAAAUUAAAAAAAAAAAAAAAA